rnacentral:tRNA from 1 species
CAAGAUAUAGCUCAGUUUGGUAGAGCACUGCAUUUGGGAUGCAGGGGUCGCAGGUUCAAGUCCUGCUAUCUUGACCA